AUCUUUUAGCAGACUAACAGGAUCCCCUAGUAACUGCGAGUGAAGCGGGAAAAGCUCAAAUUUAAAAUCUGGCGGUCUUUGGCUGUCCGAGUUGUAAUCUAGAGAAGUGUUAUCCGCGCUGGACCGUGUACAAGUCUCCUGGAAUGGAGCGUCAUAGAGGGUGAGAAUCCCGUCUUUGACACGGACUGCCAGGGCUUUGUGAUGCGCUCUCAAAGAGUCGAGUUGUUUGGGAAUGCAGCUCCAAAUGGGUGGUAAAUUCCAUCUAAAGCUAAAUAUUGGCGAGAGACCGAUAGCGAACAAGUACCGUGAGGGAAAGAUGAAAAGAACUUUGGAAAGAGAGUUAAACAGUACGUGAAAUUGCUGAAAGGGAAACGCUUGAAGUCAGUCGCGUUGGCCGGGAAUCAACCUUGCUUUUGCUGGGCGUACUUUCCGGUCGAUGGGUCAGCAUCAAUUUUGACCGUUGGAUAAAGUCUAGAGGAAUGUGGCAUCUUCGGGUGUGUUAUAGCCUCUGGUCGCAUACAACGGUUGGGAUUGAGGAACUCAGCACGCCGCAAGGCCGGGUACUCGUACCACGAUCGUGCUUAGGAUGCUGGCAUAAUGGCUUUAAUCGACCCGUCUUGAAACACGGACCAAGGAGUCUAACAUGCCUGCGAGUGUUUGGGUGGAAAACCCGAGCGCGUAAUGAAAGUGAAAGUUGAGAUCCCUGUCGCGGGGAGCAUCGACGCCCGGAUCAGACCUUUUGUGACGGUUCCGCGGUAGAGCAUGUAUGUUGGGACCCGAAAGAUGGUGAACUAUGCCUGAAUAGGGUGAAGCCAGAGGAAACUCUGGUGGAGGCUCGUAGCGAUUCUGACGUGCAAAUCGAUCGUCAAAUUUGGGUAUAGGGGCGAAAGACUAAUCGAACCAUCUAGUAGCUGGUUCCUGCCGAGUUU
rnacentral:rRNA from 1 species